AGUCAUAUGCUUGUCUCAAAGAUUAAGCCAUGCAUGUCUCAGUACAAGCCAAAUUAAGGUGAAACCGCGAAAGGCUCAUUAAAUCAGUUAUGGUUCCUUAGAUCGUACCCACAUUUACUUGGAUAACUGUGGUAAUUCUAGAGCUAAUACAUGCCAACAGAACUCCGACCGGAGACGGAAGGAGUGCCUUUAUUAGAUCAAAACCAAUCGGUGGCGCGACUUCGGUCGUGUCAUCGUACAACAUGGUGAAUCUGAAUAACGUUUGCUGAUCGCACGGUCUCGCACCGGCGACGCAUCUUUCAAAUGUCUGCCUUAUCAACUGUCGAUGGUAGGUUCUGCGCCUACCAUGGUUGUAACGGGUAACGGGGAAUCAGGGUUCGAUUCCGGAGAGGGAGCCUGAGAAACGGCUACCACAUCCAAGGAAGGCAGCAGGCGCGCAAAUUNCCCACUCCCGGCACGGGGAGGUAGUGACGAAAAA
rnacentral:rRNA from 1 species